GACCUAUUAGCUCAGUUGGUAGAGCACUUGACUUUUAAUCAAGGUGUCCCGCGUUCGAGCCGCGGAUGGGUCACCA
rnacentral:tRNA from 1 species